AGCGAACGCUGGCGGCAGGCUUAACACAUGCAAGUCGAACGCCCCGCAAGGGGAGUGGCAGACGGGUGAGUAACACGUGGGAACGUACCCUUUGGUUCGGAAUAACUUGGGGAAACUCAAGCUAAUACCGGAUAAGCCCUUAUGGGGAAAGGUUUACUGCCGAAGGAUCGGCCCGCGUCUGAUUAGCUAGUUGGUGAGGUAAUGGCUCACCAAGGCGACGAUCAGUAGCUGGUCUGAGAGGAUGAUCAGCCACACUGGGACUGAGACACGGCUCAGACUCCUACGGGAGGCAGCAGUGGGGAAUAUUGGACAAUGGGGGCAACCCUGAUCCAGCCAUGCCGCGUGAGUGAUGAAGGCCUUAGGGUUGUAAAGCUCUUUUACCCGGGACGAUAAUGACUGUACCGGGAGAAUACGCCCCGGCUAACUUCGUGCCAGCCGCCGCCGUAAUAC
rnacentral:rRNA from 1 species